rnacentral:misc_RNA from 1 species
CAUCAGUUUCCGACAUAACUGAGCCUGAGCGAGGACGAGGCUCUGAACUCUGAUGAAAGAAUGCUGGCUCACUUGGCUAAUGGUGUAAUGGUGUAUUUCGACAUUGUCAUUAUGAGGUAACCAGCUUAUGAUUUUCACUUUCACGGCCAAAUGACCCAAAUCCACUGAUGACGUGGACCUGAAACAGCUGUCCAUUUUGCCUAAAUGUCGUCUGAGGCUACCUGUUUGGGCUUUAAGUUUCAUCUCAACCAGAAACACUGCAAAAACAGAAACGGUCGUCAACGUAGAGAAAGAAUCUGAACCUAAAGUAGAGCCAGAAGAACCAUCUACUACCGGUAUACCAAAAACCAACGGAACUUACUACAUACGUUCCAAGACAUUAUUGUGGCUUUCCAUUGUUGACUUACGAAUAAUGGUUCUGGCGGAGCCAUCAAGGAAGAAAGCAGUGAUGUAUGUAAAUCAGUACAUGAGCAAUCCACUUGUGGAAAUUAAGAACCAGGCAUCGGGGGGAGAGAUACUCUAAAUGUAACUUGUCGCUCAAGUUCUCCGUUACCGAACAUUUAUCACCUCCAUCAUAUCAAAGGAUUAAAGCAUCAGGUGAUGAAAUUCGUCUUUACGGUUAAUUCGACCGUAUCACGAAUUGAAGCAUCAAUCCCGAUGUCGUUCAAGAUUUCCAUUGUGACCGCAAGAAUAACUCACCGGCUUGGAUAUACUCAUUGGCCAGACCUCUGUUCAAGAAUGUCACGUUUUCCCGCAUAGACGGCCUCUAAUCUUCAGCGAAUUCGCUUUGUAAGGUCGAACCCUCUGUGCAUGUUCCCCUGAGAAGAAAUGGCGACCAAAGCCGGCAACAAGGUAUGGAUUGAAAAAAAGGGUCAGGGAAGUCGUCCCAUCUCCUCCUUGAUUACGUAAACGCAAGAAAGUGGAAGCGCACAAAUCGUCGCAACCGACAGUCACAUAAGAAUGAAGAUGACUUGCAACUUUAGGGUGCUAAUAACUAAGCAUUACCGCAAAGAGGUUCGAAAAAACUGCUGCUACCACCUACCUACCUACCACCUAAUAUUUUUCGACUUAAGUGCACAUUAGAGACUUGGGAUCUGGAGGUAAACAUCUGGAGUAAAAAUAAGAUUGAAAUGUUGAGAAAAUCUGGUCAAUUGAUCCAUUCACAGUCCAUGCAUCAAAUUGUCCUAGUAAACUGAAGUCCUGUUGGAUUUGGUCAUGGUGGCAUUUUACCACGCCCGCGAGAAACAGUCAAACCUCGUCCAGUGACCAAAAUCAGCGCCAAGACGAGAACCGAUUGUUGCCCCUAUCCAUCUGCACACCUUCACGAAGACCUCAAAGCUCUGUCCAUCAAUCCGCCUACACAGCCUCUGUACGGCACGCUGGGGAAAAAGAAGAAACCGCCUCCUGUCCCGCCAAACGUGCCAGCAGCAGGCAGCAGCAGCUCCCCCUUGGCGGAGAGCGAGGCGGCCUAGCCCAUUUACGGACGGAGUGCCAAGUUUUGGCACUCCAAGUCCAAGCGAAAGCAUUAACACUUCAGAUACUGAACCGGGAAGCCCGGCCAUGGAAUUCCGUCAACGCCGGAAUGGAUCCGAUGCCAGUUGCAAGUCGACGUCCAGCACGGAAUGGUAUUCAAUGCCGUUUGCCAACGACAACGCCAGUACCAUCAAACAGCGAAGUGCGCGGGCUCACCCGGCCCUUGCGGCACUGACUUACUCUUCUUCCUCUGUCGCCCGUUCUGUCUCACUCGGCCGACGGGCGCCAUCCACCAGCAACGCCAACACCAAAAUAAGUCUCGGAACUAGCGACCUGUUGAACGACAUUGGCAACAUGCUAGCUGACUUGACGGAUGAAUUGGGCUCUGUGUUGGAAGAGGAAAGCAGUAACCAGCCCAUAAGGCAGAAAUCCUAAAUGGGGGGUCGCAAAAAACGUUGUUUAUGUAUAUCUUAACCUGGAUUUUUAAACGUUUGCUGAUCCCCUAGACCCCUCUCUUCCCUUGGAAUAAGAAAAACGUUCCGGGCUCCACUUAUUGUUUAAUGCCAGCCAGCUGCGUCAAGGUGCCUAGUUCACAAGCAUAUCUCGUAAAGCAAGCAUGAUCCAUCUGGAUUGAUGAAAUAGUUUAUGAACAAGUGUUGGAUAUUCCUAUAUUCUUAUUUCUCCCUUUUUCUUCUUCAAUUUAACACUGUUCCAUCUCGAUGGAAAUGAUUUCUUUUACGUUACGUGACGAUUUUAACUGUUGGGAUAUUUUUUUUUUUUUAAUUCACCGUCCUUUUGUUAUAUGUUGCCCGCCCAGCCAAGUGAUGUACCUUGUACCUAUAUAAUAUUGUAUGGAAUACAUGUACACGUUUAUCGUA